UACAGAGGGUGCAAGCGUUGUUCGGAAUUAUUGGGCGUAAAGGGCUCGUAGGCGGUUUGUCGCGUCGGGAGUGAAAACUCAGGGCUCAACCCUGAGCGUGCUUCCGAUACGGGCAGACUAGAGGUAGGCAGGGGAGAGCGGAACUCCUGGUGUAGCGGUGGAAUGCGCAGAUAUCAGGAAGAACACCGGUGGCGAAGGCGGCUCUCUGGGCCUUACCUGACGCUGAGGAGCGAAAGCGUGGGUAGCGAACAGG
rnacentral:rRNA from 1 species